CGCUGGCGGCGUGCCUAAUACAUGCAAGUCGAACGGUCUUUCUAUGGAAGCUUGCUUCCACUGAGAAGAUAGUGGCGAACGGGUGAGUAACACGUGGGUAACCUGCCCAUAAGAGGGGGAUAACAUCCGGAAACGGGUGCUAAUACCGCAUAGUUUUUCUUGAUCGCAUGAUUGAGAAAGGAAAGACGGCCUUUGUGCUGUCGCUUAUGGAUGGACCCGCGGCGUAUUAGUUAGUUGGUGAGGUAACGGCUCACCAAGACGAUGAUACGUAGCCGACCUGAGAGGGUGAUCGGCCACAUUGGGACUGAGACACGGCCCAAACUCCUACGGGAGGCAGCAGUAGGGAAUCUUCCGCAAUGGACGAAAGUCUGACGGAGCAACGCCGCGUGAGUGAAGAAGGUUUUUUCGGAUCGUAAAACUCUGUUGUCAGAGAAGAACAAGUUGGAGAGUAACUGCUCCAGCCUUGACGGUAUCUGACCAGAAAGCCACGGCUAACUACGUGCCAGCAGCCGC
rnacentral:rRNA from 1 species